GCCACUUUAGCUCAGUAGGUAGAGCACUUCCUUGGUAAGGAAGAGGUCGGCGGUUCGAUUCCGCUAGGUGGCUCCA
rnacentral:tRNA from 2 species